GGAGUUUAUGGAAUUAUUGAAGGAAAGCCGCGCCAGUGCCAAGAGAUCAUGGCCCAGAGCUGGCAGAACUGAUCAGACCAAUGCUGAGCAAAAGGCCUGAAGAAGACCAUCUGGAGGAGCAUCCCGAGGGCCUUCCCCAAAGCACCAGAUCGCCUUCCUUUCCGAGGCCACAAAGGCGAGAACUUCCAGAAAUAGCAUGAAACACGGUGGCUUGGUGACAUCCAAGCCUGCUGCCACCGUGGUUUCCGGGAAGGCAGAAUCAAGGCAUGAAGUAAUCCACGCCAACCACGCUCCUCUGAGGGCUGAGCAAGACAUCGAUAGUGGGUGAAGGCAAGUGUUUGUCCCAGGAGAGGCCCAGGGUGGUUGGUCCCUUGAAGUCACCCGCCAGUCUGAAGGCCCAGGGGACUUGAGCAAUACCAAGAACUGGCCACGGUCCUGCAACAGCCCAAGGGCUGCCUGCCGGACAUAAGGGGUGGCUGGGUCCUCCAUGUGGGCAGCUCAUGCAGUCAGCUCAGCAGCUCUCCCUGCCUGGAAUGGUCUG
ensembl:lncRNA TBC1D26-AS1 TBC1D26 antisense RNA 1